AAUGAGAAGACCAAACUCAAUAAAAAUCUAAAGCUCUCUACAGGACUUGCCCUAGAUCUCGGUACUUACUUAAGUGAGAUUUGAACUUCACUGGUUCUGUGCCUUUAUAGCACAAGAAACAGAAUGUGACAUCUUAUCCACUUGUAUUUUCCCGAAAGCAUCUUUCUUUAGCACUAAGGAUUAGUGGUACUCCACCUUCCAGGAAUACCAAUUUUAUGGCAGAAUCUUAAAAGGAUCCAGGAGCUCACUGAUAUGAAAAGACUGACUGUCCUCCACAAGUUCCUGGUGUCCAGAUUUUGCCCAUGUCACCAGCACUUAACAGUAAGGUGUGAACUAAUGCUUUUGCUCUCUCUUCAGUUCUGAGGAUCUAACUUAGUUCCUUCACUUGUGCAGCAAGGGCUUUAUCCUCUGAGGCAUCUUCUCAGCCUCCUUAUCUUCAUUUUAAUAAAUUCUACACAAAAGGCGACUGUUGUUUAGGAGUUCGUAGAGCUAAUAAGUACACAAAGGGCAACAUCAACCACGUUUAAAGUCAAGAUCAGUUUUCACUCUCUGUCCAUAGAUGGCAGCAAUGUACCAAGUCUUACACAACUUUCUCCCAGCCUAUGAAAAGUUUUAUGUAUAGUAAAUCCCAUGUUUUCUAAGUAAAGAAAAAUUAUUUAAAAGAAACUAUAGCGGCAACAGAAUAUGAUCAAAAAUACUUUUAGCAAACCUUCUGUCCAUCUCAGGUUUUUAUUCAGUGAACUAAAGA